AAAAAAUCAAUAUAUAAACAGCUGCUUAAAUUUUUUUUAUAUUCAAUGGUAAAAGAUUCAAUCAUCAUUUUAGAUAUAGAAGAGUUUUGAAAUUUGUAAUUAGUAUGUACCUUUUAAUGAGUUUACAAAAUAUAAAUAUAUAAAUAAUUAAUUAAUGAACUCAUUCUAAUAAAUAACUUCAGAAAUAAUAAAGAGGUGAAUGAGAAGGGUGAAAGCCUGUAUAGUUUUGGCACCACAAAAACUUCAACAAAUGAGGAGGGAGGUUGUAGAUCCUUCGUAGCCAAAUGGGCUAAGCUGAGUCUCUAAUGAAAAAAAUUAAAAGGGGAAAGCGACAUAACAGCUAGGCUCAACGGUUUUCAUCAGAAGGCAGUGCCGGCUAAUUAUGCUUAUAUAUAUGCUGCCGCUGUUGAUGUUGCCACAGCCGUACGUGGCUGGUGCAAAGGCUACAGCAGGCGGUGUGCCCCUCAUUUACCUGAUUGAUUUGUGUGUUUUGUAUGCUUUUCAUAUAUAUCCCCUCUUUUGCCUUUUCACAUAAAGGGCUUGCAGUUUGAGACCCUUUAUAGAGAGAGCAGUCAUUCAAUAACUUAAUUAUUUUUUCUUAUCAACCAUUGAGAUAACUUAGCAGUUUUUAGAAUCG
rnacentral:lncRNA from 1 species